ACUGAUUGCAUGGUAAGAAGUCUUUGUGUUGAGAAGUUUAAUAGCUAGCUAGUUUAUAGCUAUUAUGAACACAUAAGUUAACAACAUCCAAGCAUAAAACUGAUAUCUGUUCAACAGUUUUCCAGUUGCUCUGAAAGAGACAAAACUGUCAUUCUACUGUUUAUUCAACUAUUUUACUCAGUUUAAUCAUAGAUAAUAGAGUGGUUUAAUUGAAGUUAAAGAUCUUGAUCUCUGUUUGAUCAUGGACUCCUUGAGGGAACUUGAGAGAAACAUAAUUAUACUUGCGGCUAGUUGUCACUGCUGGGAUUGGAUUGUGAAUGUACCAGCUACUUGACAAGAUUGAGCCAUCGCAGGCAACAGUGAAUCCCUAUAUAAGAGUCUCUGGACUACUGCCUCUGAGUAGGCCGCAACUUGACCAGUCACUAGAGCUGUUAACUCGUUAAAUUGAUGGUGAUACGUAUACAGUCCGGUAUGGUGUUGUUAACACUGGUCAGAGAUGUGGAGGUUGGUACUCAUUCGCCAAUAGACGGUGGGCUCUGGAGACCUGUGUGGACCCACUGGAGGGCUGUAUCUGUGUUCCUAUAGUGACAAACCCUGACUGUGAAUCCCUAAUUUCUGCUCAAGAUACCUCGAAGAGAACUGAGGGGCUCCAAACUUGAAAAUCAAGCUGUAAAACCUGACUAAAGAUGAUGUCAUUGCACCCACUACUCCAUUGGUUCCUUGUUAAAUCAUCCAAGCAAAGCAUAUCUUUGUUUCCAAUUAUUGAGGAUGCAGAAAGCGACUUCAGUGAAGAGCUCCAAGCCUCUUCCCACUCUGAGACCACUCUCACUCCUACAAAAGGGUACUGCAUUCAAGCCCAGAGAGUCGACAUCCAUUGUAAACUCCUUCUCAUUCACUAAACCCAAUUUUUUUGAGGAUGAAGAAAGCGACUUCAGUGAAGAGUUCUCCAAGCCCCUUCCCACCUUGAUAUCACUCUCACUCCUUCCCCGCCUACAAAAAGUACUGUGUUCAGUCGUAAAGAGUCGACAUCCAUUGUCAAUCCCUUCUCAUUCCAUGUAACUAUACCCGUGGCCAAUCCACCAAUUUCGAAUAUCCUGAGUUGAGUCCUUUGGAGCUCGAAACAGUUUCCUACUUCCUUGUGACAUCAACAAUUACUGAAGAGGAAGAAAGUGAUUUUAGUGAUGAUUUCUCUAAGCCUCUUUCCUCUCUAAGACUACUCUUACUCUUUCGUCGCAUACUGUAUUCAAGCCCAAAGAGUCGACAUCCAUUGUUGAUCCCUUCUCAUUUCAUGUGUUUAGCCAUGCCUAAUCUACCAAACUCAAUUUUCCGGAACUGGUUUAUUUGGAGCCCAGAACAGCUUGCGACGUCUGUUAAAAAGCACACUACGUUGAAGACAAUGAUUGAGAAUGAAGAAAGCGACCUCAGCGAAGAGUUCUCCAAGCCUCUUCCCACUCUAAGACUACUUUCACUGAUCCACCGCCAACAAUAGGGUACUGUUUUCAAGUCCAAAAGUCGACAUCCAUUGUUAACCCCUUCUCAUUCCAUGUGUCUGGCCAUGGCCAAUCCACAAAAUCCAAGUGUCCGGAACUGCAUGAGUUAUGUUGAGCUCAAAAGUGCUUCCUAUUUGUAAGUGAGGUCUGUUAAGAAACACACUACUCUGAAUACAAUAAUUGAGGAUGAAGAAAGCGGAAGAGUUCUCCAAGCCCCUUCCCACCUUGAUACCACUCUCACUCCUCCCUGCCUACAAAAAAGUAAUGUGUUCAAGUCCAAAUUAGAGUCGACAUACAUGUCAACCCCUUAUUAAUUGCCUGUGGCAGAUCCACCAAAUCCGAAUGUCUGGAGUUGGGUCCUUUGGAGCCCGAAACAGCUUCCUAUUUCCUUGUGAUGUCUGUUAAGAACCACACUACUUUGAAAACAAUUACUGAAGACGAAGAAAGUGAUUUUAGUGAUGAUUUCUGCAAGCCUCUUUCCUCUUCGAGAUCACUCCCGCUUAUCCCUCGCAAACAACAAGGAGCUGUCUUUAAUGCAAAGGAAUCCUCCAUGCACUGUCACAGUAUCCUGCUACUUAUCUGCCGUUCAGAGUUCAGCUGAGGCACCAAGAGAGGAAGACACAAUUGUUGAAAAGAAGUCUACAAGAGAUGUAAUGGGCAGUUAUAAAUUUGUGUUUGCAUGAUACAAUUUUGAGAGUAUAAUUAUAUAUAGACACUGGAACUGGUAUAGACUUAGCUUAAUACUUGUUUUUUAGUUGAUGAUCUUUACCACCCCAACAAUUGUACAAUGCAAG